CAGUGAAUCUCAACAGUAUAUACGGAGCCUGCUGUUUACCAGGUCCUGGGAAUUUGGUAGAGAACAUGCCCAAUAAUGCCUCUUCUCUCAGGGCACUCCCUGACCACUAAACAAAGACAGGGUUAAGUCAGGUGCUGUGGAGAAACUGAAACUCAGAGAUGUGCAGAGAGUUGCUGCCUUAGCAGGGUUGGCUUCCCCGGGGAACCCAGGCACUUGAGCUAAACCUGAAGGACCAGGAGCCAGCCAGGGUGUCCCUAAGAUGCUAAAACUGGCCUGUCACUUUCGAUCUUCCUGCCAUAGCUUCCCGAGUACCUGGGAUUACAGAGCCACCGGCACCACAUGGCCACAGGCUGCAUCUGCUGCCCGAGAAGUUGCCAUGAAGCUGCCGAAGGUUGGGAUGGAACUGAGAAUUUCUCAGCUGGCUCCUUGCACGGAUGUAUCUGGGGCUUAACAAUCUGCUUUCUCAUUUGUGAUUCCUUCAUAAAGAGAC